AGCGAACGCUGGCGGCAGGCCUAACACAUGCAAGUCGAACGAACCCUUCGGGGUUAGUGGCGGACGGGUGAGUAACACGUGGGAACGUGCCUUUCGGUUCGGAAUAACUCAGGGAAACUUGUGCUAAUACCGAAUGUGCCCUUCGGGGGACAGAUUGAUCGCCUUUAGAGCGGCCCGCGUCUGAUUAGCUAGUUGGUGAGGUAAUGGCUCACCAAGGCUACGAUCAGUAGCUGGUCUGAGAGGAUGACCAGCCACAUUGGGACUGAGACACGGCCCAAACUCCUACGGGAGGCAGCAGUGGGGAAUCUUGCGCAAUGGGCGAAAGCCUGACGCAGCCAUGCCGCGUGGAUGAUGAAGGUCUUAGGAUUGUAAAGUCCUUUCACCGGUGAAGAUAAUGACUGUAGCCGGAGAAGAAGCCCCGGCUAACUUCGUGCCAGCAGCCGCCGUAACAC
rnacentral:rRNA from 1 species